CGCCGCCCUUACGCAUGCGUAGGACUCGCGGUAUAAAGGCGCGCACACGUGGGGCUUCGGUCUGUUCAAUUUGGAAGGGGCGGGUAUGGAGUGGAGGCUGUUGGUGAGAGGGCUGGGAAUGGACCUUUGGCACAGUCUGAAAAUCACCUGCGGUCUCCCGUGGCCCCCGGUGUAGCAGCCCGGCUAGGAUCCUUCACGUGAAGAUGAGACAAAAAGAGCCUUCGUGAGAACGGUGGUGGCGGAUUUACAACUGAAAUGCUUCGAAGCUGUGCGGAACGUUUAUAAAAGAAUGCUCGUACGAAGGGAGCUGAGUACUUUCAAUAAAAAUUUACUCGCUUGAACACUUA
ensembl:lncRNA